UACAGAGGUCCCAAGCGUUACUGAGAAUCACUGGGUUUAAAGGGUGCGUAGGUGGUCCGUUAAGUCAGUUGUGAAAUCCCCGGGCUCAACCCGGGAACUGCUUCUGAUACUGGUUGGCUUGAAUCCGGGAGAGGGAUGUGGAAUUCCAGGUGUAGCGGUGAAAUGCGUAGAUAUCUGGAGGAACACCGGUGGCGAAGGCGACAUCCUGGACCGGUAUUGACGCUGAGGCGCGAAAGCCAGGGGAGCGAACGGG
rnacentral:rRNA from 1 species